GGUUCGAUAUUUUGGGUUUGCAAAACUCUAAAAUGUGAAUAUCACUUGAACUU
rnacentral:tRNA from 1 species